rnacentral:rRNA from 1 species
UACGGAGGAUGCGAGCGUUAUCCGGCUUUAUUGGGUUUAAAGGGUGCGCAGGCGGUCUGUUAAGUCAGCGGUCAAAGCCCGGGGCUCAACCCGGGCCGGCCGUUGAAACUGGGGAUCUUGAGUGGGCGAGAAGUAUGCGGAAUGCGCAGUGUAGCGGUGAAAUGCUUAGAUAUUGCGCAGAACUCCGAUUGCGAAGGCAGCAUACCGGCGCCCGACUGACGCUGAAGCACGAAAGCGUGGGUAUCGAACAGG